rnacentral:rRNA from 1 species
UACGUAGGGUGCGAGCGUUGUCCGGAAUUAUUGGGCGUAAAGGGCUCGUAGGCGGUUUGUCGCGUCGGGAGUGAAAUCCUACGGCUUAACUGUGGGCUUGCUUUCGAUACGGGCAGACUAGAGGUAUGCAGGGGAGAACGGAAUUCCUGGUGUAGCGGUGAAAUGCGCAGAUAAUCAGGAGGAACACCAAUGGCGAAGGCAGCUCGCUGGGACGUGACUGACGCUGAGACGCGAAAGCGUGGGGAGCAAACAGG